rnacentral:tRNA from 1 species
GGGCCCGUAGCUUAGCCUGGUUGGAGCGCUCGACCUUGGACCGAGAGGUCGUGGGUUCGAAUCCCACCGGGCCCA